UACAGAGGGGGCAAGCGUUAUUCGGAAUUAUUGGGCGUAAAGGGCGCGUAGGCGGCCUGGCAAGUGGAAGGUGAAAUCCCUCGGCUUAACCGAGGAACUGCCCUCCAAACUGCUUGGCUUGAGACCGGGAGAGGUGAGUGGAAUUCCCAGUGUAGCGGUGAAAUGCGUAGAUAUCUGGAGGAACACCGGUGGCGAAGGCGGCUUCCUGGGGCCAUCCUGACACUGAGAAGCGAAAGCUAGGGGAGCGAACGGG
rnacentral:rRNA from 1 species